rnacentral:rRNA from 1 species
AAGCAUAUCAAUAAGCGGAGGAAAAGAAACCAACAGGGAUUGCCCUAGUAACGGCGAGUGAAGCGGCAACAGCUCAAAUUUGAAAUCUGGCUCUUUCAGGGUCCGAGUUGUAAUUUGCAGAGGGCGCUUUGGCUUUGGCAGCGGUCCAAGUUCCUUGGAACAGGACGUCACAGAGGGUGAGAAUCCCGUACGUGGUCGCUAGCUAUUGCCGUGUAAAGCCCCUUCGACGAGUCGAGUUGUUUGGGAAUGCAGCUCUAAAUGGGAGGUAAAUUUCUUCUAAAGCUAAAUACUGGCCAGAGACCGAUAGCGCACAAGUAGAGUGAUCGAAAGAUGAAAAGCACUUUGGAAAGAGAGUCAAACAGCACGUGAAAUUGUUGAAAGGGAAGCGCUUGCAGCCAGACUUGCUUGCAGUUGCUCAUCCGGACUUUUGUCCGGUGCACUCUUCUGCAGGCAGGCCAGCAUCAGUUUGGGCGGUGGGAUAAAGGUCUCUGUCACGUACCUCUCUUCGGGGAGGCCUUAUAGGGGAGACGACAUACCACCAGCCUGGACUGAGGUCCGCGCAUUUGCUAGGAUGCUGGCGUAAUGGCUGUAAGCGGCCCGUCUUGAAACACGGACCAAGGAGUCUAACAUCUAUGCGAGUGUUUGGGUGUCAAGCCCGAACGCGUAAUGAAAGUGAACGGAGGUGGGAACCCGCAAGGGUGCACCAUCGACCGAUCCUGAUGUCUUCGGAAGGAUUUGAGUAAGAGCAUGGCUGUUGGGACCCGAAAGAUGGUGAACUAUGCUUGAAUAGGGUGAAGCCAGAGGAAACUCUGGUGGAGGCUCGCAGCGGUUCUGACGUGCAAAUCGAUCGUCAAAUUUGGGCAUAGGGGCGAAAGACUAAUCGAACUAUCUAGUAGCUGGUUCCUGCCGAAU